UACGUAGGGGGCAAGCGUUGUCCGGAUUCAUUGGGCGUAAAGAGCGUGUAGGCGGCCAGGUAGGUCGGUUGUGAAAACUGGAGGCUCAACCUUCAGACGUCGACCGAAACCAUCUGGCUAGAGUCCGGGAGAGGAGAGUGGAAUUCCUGGUGUAGCGGUGAAAUGCGCAGAUAUCAGGAAGAACACCGAUGGCGAAGGCAGCUCUCUGGGACGGUACUGACGCUGAGACGCGAAAGCGUGGGGAGCGAACAGG
rnacentral:rRNA from 1 species